rnacentral:rRNA from 1 species
CGGACGGGUGAGUAACGCGUGAGCAACCUGCCUUUCAGAGGGGGAUAACGUUUGGAAACGAACGCUAAUACCGCAUGAUAUGAUCGAACCGCAUGGUUUGAUGAUCAAAGGAGUAAUCCGCUGAAAGAUGGGCUCGCGUCCGAUUAGGUAGUUGGCGGGGUAACGGCCCACCAAGCCGACGAUCGGUAGCCGGACUGAGCGGUUGAACGGCCACAUUGGGACUGAGACACGGCCCAGACUCCUACGGAAGGCAGCAG